rnacentral:rRNA from 1 species
UACAGAGGGGGCAAGCGUUGUUCGGAAUUACUGGGCGUAAAGGGCGCGUAGGCGGCCUGUUAAGUCGAACGUGAAAUCCCCGGGCUCAACCCGGGAACUGCGUCCGAUACUGGCAGGCUUGAAUCCGGGAGAGGGAUGUGGAAUUCCAGGUGUAGCGGUGAAAUGCGUAGAUAUCUGGAGGAACACCGGUGGCGAAGGCGGCUCACUGGCCCGAUACUGACGCUGAGGCACGAAAGCGUGGGGAGCAAACAGG